CGGGGUGGAGUAACGCGUGGGUAACCGUGCCUUGUACUGGGGGACGAACAGUUGGAAACGACUGCUAAUACCGCAUAAGCGCACAGCUUCGCAUGAAGCAGUGUGAAAAACUCCGGUGGUACAAGAUGGACCCGCGUCUGAUUAGCUGGUUGGUGAGGUAACGGCCCACCAAGGCGACGAUCAGUAGCCGGCCUGAGAGGGUGAACGGCCACAUUGGGACUGAGACACGGCCCAA
rnacentral:rRNA from 1 species